GGCUUCAUAGUUCAAGGGAUAGAAUAAAAGUUUCCUAAACUUUAGAUAUAGGUUCGAAUCCUAUUGAAGUCA
rnacentral:tRNA from 1 species